rnacentral:rRNA from 1 species
AUGAGGUUCCAAUGGUUAGUUUUGGAUUUUUUCAGGCAAGAAAGCAAAGAAGAAGGGAGGAUUCUCUAUUACCAACUUCCCCCAUUGUCCUGUCCUCAUUGGUCAUUCAUCUUUCCCGAUCUAGUGCCAUCGUUCUUCAAGGUGCCGGAGGGUUUGAAGCAUACCUACUACCCCUCCCCUGAGCUUAGUUCAGAGUUGCCUCAGCGCGCUCGAGUAAUAACUGGGAAAAUCAAGGCUGGACAGGUCUUCGAGCCAACUUCAGGAAGAAAUGCAAGUGAAAGAGAAUGCUCUCGAGGGCGCAGGAGUCUUUUCUUUCUUAUUUGA